AUUGAACGCUGGCGGCAGGCCUAACACAUGCAAGUCGAGCGGAUGAAGGGAGCUUGCUCCUGGAUUCAGCGGCGGACGGGUGAGUAAUGCCUAGGAAUCUGCCUGGUAGUGGGGGAUAACGUCAGGAAACGGGCGCUAAUACCGCAUACGUCCUGAGGUAGAACGUGGGGGAUCUUCGGACCUCACGCUAUCAGAUGAGCCUAGGUCGGAUUAGCUAGUUGGAGGGGUAAAGGCCUACCAAGGCGACGAUCCGUAACUGGUCUGAGAGGAUGAUCAGUCACACUGGAACUGAGACACGGUCCAGACUCCUACGGGAGGCAGCAGUGGGGAAUAUUGGACAAUGGGCGAAAGCCUGAUCCAGCCAUGCCGCGUGUGUGAAGAAGGUCUUCGGAUUGUAAAGCACUUUAAGUUGGGAGGAAGGGCAGUAAGUUAAUACCUUGCUGUUUUGACGUUACCAACAGAAUAAGCACCGGCUAACUUCGUG
rnacentral:rRNA from 1 species